rnacentral:rRNA from 1 species
GAACGAACGCUGGCGGCAGGUCUUAGGCAUGCAAGUCGAACGGAUGAUAAGAGAGCUUGCUCUCUAAAGUCAGUGGCGCACGAGUGAGUAACGCGUGGGAAACUGCCCUUCACUGGGGAAUAACGUUUGGAAACGAACGCUAAUACCGCAUACGCCCGCAAGGAGAAAGAUUUAUCGGUGAUGGAUGUGCCCGCGUUGGAUUAGCCAGUUGGUGGGGUAAUGGCCUACCAAAGCAAUGAUCCAUAGCUGGUCUGAGAGGACGAUCAGCCACGCUGGAACUGAGACACGGUCCAGACUCCUACGGGAGGCAGCAGCUAAGAAUAUUGGGCAAUGGAGGAAACUCUGACCCAGCCCAUGCCGCGUGAAUGAAGAAGACCUUCGGGUUGUAAAGUUCUUUUAGUCAUGAAGAUGAUGACAGUAGUGACAGAAAAAGCACCGGCUAACUUCGUGCCAGCCGCGGC